GCUUCACCUUCAGUCACCCUUCUCAGUUGCUUUCUUGUAUCGCUAGAGGGAGGUUUGACUACACUGGACUUUGAGGAGUUGUCUUGGAGUGGAUCUGCUAUCUAUGCGGUGGAAGAUGGGAUCUAUUUUAUUGCUUGCACUAUGUGUGUUGGCUUCAAUGCUGCACACAAUAAAUUGUGCUGAAGGUGAACAUCACUAUGUUUGUAACGGAGGAGUGCUUUUUAUGGACACGAAGGACUUACUGGAUUACCAA